rnacentral:rRNA from 1 species
UACGGGGGGUGCGAGCGUUGUCCGGAAUCACUGGGCGUAAAGGGCGCGUAGGUGGUUUGAUAAGGGUGUGGUGAAAGCCCGGGGCUCAACCCCGGGUCUGCCGUGCCGACUGUCAAACUCGAGGGCUGUAGAGGCAGACGGAAUUCCGGGUGUGAGCGGUGGAAUGCGUAGAGAUCCGGAGGAGACCGGUGGCGAAGGCGGUCUGCUGGGCGAGUUUCUGACACUGAUGCGCGACAGC